UACGGAAGGGGCAAGCGUUGUUCGGAAUCAUUGGGCGUAAAGGGCGCGUAGGUGGUUCUGUAUGUCUACCGUGAAAGCCUACAGCUCAACUGUAUUUUGUCGGUAGAAACUGCAGGACUUGAGGCUGGGAGGGGCUGGUGGAAUUCCCUGUGUAGCGGUGAAAUGCGUAGAGAUGGGGGAGAACACUCGUGGCGAAGGCGGCCAGCUAGACCAGUUCUGACACUGAGGCGCGACAGCGUGGGGAGCAAACAGG
rnacentral:rRNA from 1 species